rnacentral:rRNA from 1 species
CUCUAUAGCUAUGCCACCCUGAAUGUGCCCGAUCUCAUGUGAUCUCGUAACUAAGCAGUGUCGGGCCUGGUUAGUGCUUGGAUGGGAGAUGAAAAGGGAACCAAUUUGCAGAAC